UACGUAGGGUGCGAGGCGUUGUCCGGAAUUAUUGGGCGUAAAGAGCUUGUAGGCGGUUUGUCGCGUCUGCUGUGAAAAUCCGGGGCUCAACCCCGGACUUGCAGUGGGUACGGGCAGACUAGAGUGUGGUAGGGGAGACUGGAAUUCCUGGUGUAGCGGUGAAAUGCGCAGAUAUCAGGAGGAACACCGAUGGCGAAGGCAGGUCUCUGGGCCACUACUGACGCUGAGAAGCGAAAGCGUGGGGAGCGAACAGG
rnacentral:rRNA from 1 species